rnacentral:misc_RNA from 1 species
GGGGGUCACAAGCUUCCAAUUUUUGGCUAAUGACUAAAGAUGAUCGCAACGAUCAACAAUGGUUAGUGAACUAAUGAAGGUUGGUUUCCCUUAUAAAUUUAGGGAUAUUAAAAACGACCUCAUAUUUUGAAGUACUUUUCCUGAAAAUGAUCUAUUUUGACUAAGAAAAAUCAGUUCCCAUAUAUGCUAAAAAUGAGAGAGAGAGUUUUCCAAAAAAUCACCGUCAAACAAACACGGGCCUAAAUGAGACAGGAAAUAUUUU